rnacentral:lncRNA from 1 species
GGCUCCUUUGGUUGUGCGAUGGCACCACUAUUUUCACAGUUGAAGUCCAAAGGACUUGGUGCAUUAGGAAUGUUAUCCAACUUAAAAAGAAACAUUAUGAUCCAAAUAACCACCUUGAUAAAUUCCGAAGUUGUGAUGUACUCGUCCUCCCUGAACUUUCCUCGCUUACCCGUAAUCCAUUGAGGUAGAACACAAAAUCAGAUUGCUAUUUGUUAUCAUCUCUAUCAGUUUGAAAGCUACCAUCAAUAUAACCACUUAUAAACUCAUCUUCACCACCAU